rnacentral:rRNA from 1 species
UACGUAGGGGGCAAGCGUUGUCCGGAAUCAUUGGGCGUAAAGAGCGUGUAGGCGGCCCGGUAAGUCCACCGUGAAAGUCCAGGGCUCAACCCUGGAAUGCCGGUGGAAACUGCCGGGCUGGAGUCCGGAAGAGGCGAGUGGAAUUCCUGGUGUAGCGGUGAAAUGCGCAGAUAUCAGGAGGAACACCGGUGGCGAAGGCGGCAUCCUGGACCGGUAUUGACGCUGAGGCGCGAAAGCCAGGGGAGCAAACGGG